rnacentral:rRNA from 1 species
UACGUAGGGGGCAAGCGUUGUUCGGAUUUACUGGGCGUAAAGGGCGCGUAGGCGGCGCUGUAAGUCACUUGUGAAAUCUCUGGGCUUAACUCGGAACGGUCAAGUGAUACUGCAGCGCUAGAGUGCGGUAGGGAAGACUGGAAUUCCUGGUGUAGCGGUGAAAUGCGCAGAUAUCAGGAGGAACACCGGUGGCGAAGGCGGGUCUCUGGGCCGAUACUGACGCUGAGGAGCGAAAGCGUGGGGAGCGAACAGG